rnacentral:misc_RNA from 1 species
GUUAUAAUUGUGUUUGCUCGCAAACGAAAAAAAACCGACUUCAAUUACAUCGACAAGUAAUACAACGUAGAUCGACGAAAAAAUAGUCAAACAACUACGCGUUAUCAAAGAUUACUCAAAAAGUAGUUAUCAGAUCUCGAUAAAAUUUAUAUGUGACCACAUGAUAAACAUCAGCUUUCGAUUAAAUUAAAAAUUAUCAAAAUCGGUACACCCAGUAAAAAGUUAUUGCGGAUUUUCGAGAGUUUCCCUCGAUUUCUCAUCAAUCCCAUCAUCAGAUCCUGGUUUCCUUAUCAUGGUACCAAACUAGGGAUAUUGCCUUUCCAACAAAAAAAGAAUUAUCAAAAUCGGUACAUCCAGUAGAAAGUUAUGCGGUAUAAUACAACGUAGGUCGAUGAAAAAAGCGUCAAGUAAAAACGCAUUAUUAGAUAUAGCUCGAAAAGUAGUUGUUAGAUCUCAAAUAAAUUUAAAUGGGACCAAUUGGC